UCUGGAUCAGUUGGAUGUGUGUUGAUUUCCCAAUGGGCCGUGAAGAUGUUGCUGAGAAGAUGCAUGGACGUGGAGAACCUGGUGCUGCAGCGUGGACGUUUGGGGUGCAGCGUGUGUAGGUGAAGAUUGUUGAAAUUACUAUUGCCACCACAUGCUACAGCCCAAGAAGAGGUGAACGUGUUGCAUCCUCCAAGCUGCUGGGCGAAAUUUCUCUCUCUUUUUUUAUUGCCAAUUCCCACCAGCAUUUCAAUGUGACGUGCAAC
rnacentral:lncRNA from 1 species